rnacentral:sRNA from 2 species
AAAGUCCUUGACGACCACAGGAGUCAGGCAGGCAGGCAGGCAGGCAGGCAGGCAGGCAAGCAGGCAAAGUCCCAAGAAAGCAUAAUAGAUGAUCCGGGAAGUUAGGAUUUCUUAUUUAUUAGCCCCGUGAACCCCCUCUGUACUUGGGGCGCAUCUACAUCGCACGAGGGUUUGGUGUGGCUUGGUGCCGUCUGUUCGCUUUCCAAGCCGGGGUGAUACACUAUUGCGGAUUUCUCCACAGCGAGCGUUCUCUCUUUUUGCCCCUCAGAAACCCAAAUUCCAAAAGAGGGAAUAAGAAAUGGGAAGCAUAGGAUAGCAAUGGGCGGGUCUGUUACGGGUGCCUGGGGACACAUCCACGAUUGGAUGGGAACCGAGCAGCCGGAGCUUGAAGCUGUGGAGAGAAGUGCAAACUAACUUCUACAUGCCUUUCCAGCCUUACCUCCUUACUGACUGCAGGAUAUGGUCAGGAUACGGACGGAACCAUUAUAUGGGCGCAAUCAUAGUUCAGAAAAAAAGACUUUUAAAAUUAAAUUUUGUCUCUGAUACCAAGUUUGUUUGGAAAAUUAAAAUAUGAACUUAAUUGACAAGUGGCACAUCGUGCGAAGCUUUCAUAGAACUAGUUAGGUAAAAUUACCAAAAAGAAAAAUAAAACAGAACGUAAAAGAAAUAAGAAAUAAGAAAGGCUAAAUAUAGUCAAUAUGUUGGAAUAAUUAAGGAAACAAAAAUAAUGAAGCAUAUUAAGUUAGG